GUGGGGAAUCUUGCGCAAUGGGGGAAACCCUGACGCAGCAACGCCGCGUGGGUGAUGAAGGCCUUCGGGUCGUAAAGCCCUGUCAGGUGGGAAGAAACAUGUUGAUGCCAAUACCAUCAGCACUUGACGGUACCACCGGAGGAAGCACCGGCUAACUCCGUGCCAGCAGCCGCGGUAAUACGGAGGGUGCAAGCGUUGUUCGGAAUUAUUGGGCGUAAAGCGCGUGUAGGCGGUCAUGUAAGUCAGAUGUGAAAGCCUUCCGCUUAACGGGAGAAGUGCAUUUGAAACUGCAUGACUGGAGUACGGGAGAGGAGAGUGGAAUUCCCGGUGUAGAGGUGAAAUUCGUAGAUAUCGGGAGGAACACCAGUGGCGAAGGCGGCUCUCUGGCCUGAUACUGACGCUGAGACGCGAAAGCGUGGGGAGCAAACAGGAUUAGAAACCCCGGUAGUCC
rnacentral:rRNA from 1 species